AAUGAGUAUCAAUCUUUGCUGUGCGCGAAUAUUAACUUGGAUUUCAAAAAUAUCUACGAUGAAUAUGCAUUAUUGGAAUACCCUAACUCACAUCUAUUUAAUCAAAUGUCUCAGUAGACAAAUUGAUUAGACGAAUUUAUGUAGUUAAUAUUUGUUUUUUAAAUUAAUAUUUCUUUCCUAUUGUGAUUGUAGUUGAUGAGACCAGAGAGAAGUUACUGCCGAUGAUAUUGAGGUGGGGGAUAAUAGCAUAUCCAUUUUCUGCUAGUCGGGAAGAAGCCGAACUGAGGAAGUCAGAAUUGGAGGAGUUCAACUUCAGAUCUCAAUCCAGCUUGGAGUUUAUUUUUCGGAAUUUGGAGCUGUUUCAAUCAAGGGCAAAGGAGGUGCGUCUUCGUGGAGAUAUAAAAUUUGUGUGCGUGGGUCCAAUUAACAAGAUGUUGGAGUUCCUGCCAGAGUUAAAGUGUGCCUUGGAAAAGCUAGGAAAGGUCGUCCAAGUCUUCUACGUUGGGGAAGGAGUCCAAAAUCCUGGACACAAAACGGUUGCUUUCCAAGAAGAAGAAAAAGAGUAUGAAAUCCUGAGAAAGAAAAUGUGUAGCAUCACAAGCCUCUCUUUGUGGAAUGUUUACAGGUUUUGGGAGCGCGUCAAAUGUUUAAGGGAUGAGUUGGGUAGGCAGGUUAUUGACGAAAGGACUAUGCAGGUAAGAAGUAUGGUAUUGGCUUUUUUUAGUGCAUGCGAAUGGAGAGAGAAGCCAUGGAUGCAAAGGGAGAAUGGAGAAGAAGUGGAUGAAAAGGGGAAGGGGAUAAGUAUAAUAGCAGUGGAUGAAAAUGGGGAGAUGAUAAAUGGGAGGGAAGAAGAAAUUGUGCAGCUGCUGUGCCAAGGUACUGAGGAGGAGGAGCGUCAUAAAUUCAUGGGUGAAAUUAAAGGUGAAGGAAUUUAGCAACGCCCUCCGUAGGAGAUGGUGAGAUGGGACAUUUCCUCCCAAAUCCCAUCCGCAUCAUGUUGAUAUUUGAUGCUUCUUCGAUGACUUUGACAGAUCAUGCUGAAGUUGCAUUCCAAAACUUCCAUUCAUCGCCAAGCUUUAGUUAACUUUUUAAUAAUUAUUCUAGAAAAUAAUGGAUGCUGUGUUUUUUUGUUUUUUUUUUGAGAUUUUUGUCCAUGCUAUAUCGCUGGAUUAUGGUAAAAAACUCUGUUUUGUAGUUAAUCUGCAAGUUCGAAAUAGCUGUGCGAUGCAUGAUUGUUGCUACGAUCUGAGGCUAUAGACAUUAUAAAUAAAUUGCCUCUUUAUUGUUUUUUAUUUUAAUCUGCAUUAAAAACUGUAUUGUUUAGAAAUAAAAACAGGGUACUCUGCCUUCUCCGAAUUCAAAUGUAUCAUUCAUUUAUUUUUAUGCCUGUUGAUAUUUGUUAAAGCUGUAAGCCCUUGCUGUCAUUCAUUUUCUCUGUUAUGAUUAUUUGAGUUUGUCAACUGAUUAAAAGAAAAAGGGUUCAGAUUUGAGUCUACACAUCAUCCACUGUUAGACUUCAUUAUCAUUUGCGCUUCAAAGGAGGAUCGAUUACAGAAGAAAGAUGCGACGCAUGCUUUUGCGUUAUUGAUCGUGAUUUACUCUCACACUCCAUACGUUAUCGAUGAAGUGUGUGUGAGAAGUAUGAAAUGUGCCAAAAAUGCUUUGAAUGCUAAAUAGCCAUGUUUUAUGUCGGGAGGUUGGACUUCCACUAUUCAGAGUUAUUACUUACGGUUAAAGUGAUGCUGUUAGCAAUUUAAAUAUUUAGGUUUAUUUUUUCAAUUUAUGAUUAGAUUUGAAGUUUAUUCUUUCUAUUUAUAGGUAGAUUAUCAAUUUUGUUACCUCAUUAAUUUUCUUCAUAGAGGCAAUUAGCGUGACAGUGAUAUGCUCAUGCUCUAAAAUGUUAGUUCGUAUUAUAUGUUUUUGUAUUUAAUUGUUUGUGGUUUAAUAAUUUAUAAUCUGGAUGUUAUUAAUAGAAUAGUGUUCUAAGUGAUUAAAAAGAAAUGGUUUUAUAAGUUCAUAUUUGGCAAUGAAAAUUGAAUUGGUGUAUACAAUCUUUUAUAAAAUUUCUUGAAAAAAAUCUUGGGGGAAAAUUGUUUAGUCCAAUGGAACAGAAUAUUGAAGUUCAAGAGUGGAGAAGAUAAGGAGACUUCUUUCAUCUGAUAUUGAAGAAUAACCAGGUUUUUAAAGCUAUUAUUAAGUUUAAGAAAGAGGGGAAGAUAAGGAGACUAUUUUUUUCUAAUAUUGAAAUAUAAUCAGGUAAAGACAGUCCAAAACAUAUAUUAAAUUUCAUGUUUUACAUUUUUUUAGGAGUAAAUGCUUUUGAUCUGAAGUUAUGAACUAUUAAGAUCACAAACAGAAGAUCAACAACAAUAUUUCAGAAAGAUUAAAAAAAUUUGAAUCUUGAUGACAAUAACCACAACACUACCAUUUAACCAUCACAUCAUAUAAACACAUAUUCUAUAUAAUUAUAUGUUUUUAUUUUCAUUUAUAAAAUCCAUAUAUUCUGACUGCUAUUUUAAAUUAUAUUUUGAUUUCUUUAUUUAUCAAGCUUGAAAAACUAUUCUGAUUCUCACAAUCAUUUAUGGCCCUUUCACCAGUCUUUAGACUUGUGAACUCUGAAAAUCAUAGACAGUUCUUUCCUAAUUCUGGCUGUAUGCCUCUCACACACACAAAAGACUAUAAGUAAAAUAUGCUUUGCAUUUAGUUAGAAGAAAGGGGAGGAAACAUCAGCUUAAAUUAUGACUUUUAAGACUUUUUUUUUUGAUGGAAGCUUUCAUGGUAUGUAUUGAUGAUUUCUCUCCCUUGAUAUUGAGGUGGUUAAUCUCAACAAACUGGAAUGGGAACGAAAAGGCACAGUGCCACUGAAUUGGAGAGGUUCAGAUCCGUGUGAGUAUCAUUGGGAUGAGGUUAACUGGACCAACUCACAAGUAAUCUCAUUGCAAGGCUUCUCCAUACCUUAAAACCCAUCAAUACGUUGAAGUUUUGAACUACUUAAGUUUUAGAGCUCAUAGCAUUUAUGAAAUACUGGAAUAUUUUGUUACCGGAAAUGAUGAACAAUAGGACAAGAGAAUUCUUAUAAUUAAGUGCAACAGGUCUUCUUAGUGGACUUGAAACACUGUAACUCCUAUAUAUUUCAUCGCAGAACUAAACCAACACUUUUGACAUAUGAAUAACUAUAGACAUAUUUAGGAUUGUACUUUAUGAUUUUGUAGAUAAUCCUUAUAUGGGCACUGCAGGGAUAUAUCAUACGAUAAGGACUUGACUGGAUCCAUUCCCAGCAGCUUGGGGAAUUUGAUUAAUCUGGAAUCCUGUAAGACAACACGUAUUUUAUGCAUCAGUAAACUAAUUGGACUUCAUAAAGAAUCCAAUAUUUAUUCAGCAUCAGAAAACAGCUUAGAACAUGUUCUUUGUGAUUGGUUGCAGUUUUUCAUCACGAUUUCCAAAUGAGCUGGCGAAUCUGCUAAAUCUGAAAUUUUGUAAGAUUGUUAGUUUGGUGUUAAAAGUUCUUGUAUUAUAUUUUUCUUUGAAUGUUCUCUACGCUUAUUUGGUUCGUGAUUGGUCCUACGAAGCACUUCAUUAAUGUUACGGCGAUCUUCUAUUCAGAGUCUUGAAUUCAAAUGGUUUUACUGGCCCUCUUCCCCCUGCUCUGGGUAAUUUAUCACAACUUCAUUGGCUGGAUCUAGCUUUUAAUCAGCUUAGUGGUUCUCUUUCAGUCUCGAAUAUAAAUGAAAUUGGAUUAGACAAACUUUAUGAUGCUAGAAAAUUGUAAGUGUUUUGCCUAUGCAGCUUAGUUUUUAGCCACUACAGACCAAUUUUUACCACCGACCUAAGAAUAAUAUGAUAGUAAAUGUUUUGUUUUGUUGCCUGAACAGGAAUAGGCUAACGGGCACAAUUUUAGCAGACCUUUUUCAUUCCAUGAUAAAGCCAAGUCAUCUGAGAGCAAAUCAAGAUCACUAUUUUUAAAUUCUUAUUGUGGAGAAUAUGUGCUAAAAAACUAUUGUACUAGUCUGAAUGCUUCUUGCUGCUAUUGUGGGCAGACUUCUUGAUGGAAAGGCUUUCACUGGCGAAAUCCCCCAUACUUUGGAUCUGGUAGAAUCAUUGGAGGGGUUGUGAGUAUACAUAUGUUUGUAACAGAUGAAUCUAUAACAUUAGGAUUUUCAAUUUAUGUUAUUUACAGGGGGCCUCAGGAAUUCUUUAAGCGGUUCAAUUUCUUCUAACAUCAGAAAUUAGAUCAGUGAUUUGGAAGUGUGAGGAGUCUUAGAUCUCAUAUAGUUAUUUUUAUUUGUUUCUUUUUAUAAGGUGCUAAUAAGAAUUAGGUAAGAACAAAUUGACAGACCACUGGGGAAUGAGGACAAUUCUUUGUAAAAAUGCCUUGGAUUUGGAAGUCGGUUUUGAGUUGCUAUAAAGCUCUGUCCAUCUGCUUUGGAUAAACGCAGUUACAUUCAUUGUUAGUAGGAGAUUAAGUCAUCUCCAAUUCAGCACACCUUUGUUGCUUUACCUAUGAAUUGUGGGCCCUUCAUGCUCUAGACAAUGGCACUGAUUUUGGAUAAUUUAGUGUUGGUCACGGUGUUAAGAUAGGGUUUUAGCUUAUGUGACUUAAAAGUUUAAAGUUAUUGUUUUAGUUUUUGGAUAGUUAUGACAAUUGCUUUAUAUGUACAAAGAUUAAAAAUGAUUAUUUAGAAAUGUGUUUCAACAAUUAUAAAUUAAAAAAAUAUACACAACUCUAUCAAUUAAUAUUUUUUAUUAUAAAUAUAUAAAAAAAUAAAAUAAAAAAUUAUCACCUUAUUGUGUUUUUUUUUCACAUGUUAGGGAUUUAUGCUGGCAUGCACAGGAGAUUUAUUAGCACUGUAAUUUAAGACCUGCUACGAUAGCAAUCGAUGAAAUUCCACCUAUUCUUUACUCUCUGUCAGAGUCUGCUCCAUUGUUUGAUGGAACCACAGGAAUCUACAAUAAUUUGGCCUGCCCCUAUGCUCAACGUGUUUGAACUUUGAGCUGCCAGAAACUAUGAGACCUGGCUGAUAUUUAGACGUCUCCAAUAGACCUGCAGGACCGACCCACAUGGUACAAGAAAAAGGUUUACCCUCCUAACAAGGAUACGGCAAAAAAGGAGGCUGCAAAUGAGUUGCUAAAGUACAGAGAGACUUUUUAAAAACAGAGCACACGGCAUUAGCCAAGCCAGAACCUGAGAUACCUGAAUCACUUGCUAUGGAGAAUGUUUCCUGCAAAUAUAGAUAAGCUUAAGAUAUCCUAUCUUGAACAGAUCAUGAUGAAUUGACCAUGGCAGCCUCUACGCUUGAUUAUCUGGUUGAUCUUGCAUGUGCUCCUUUUUUUGAAAGAGUCUAUUUUGCGUUUCUCAGACAUAAGAACUAGGACAUCACAAUAUGCAGGCCAAAGCUAUUGCAAUGGAGUCAAGCAAGAAGCGCAAAAAGUGGAUGCAUAUGGAAAAACAAGACAUGAUCCAAAGCAAAUUCUUGAAAAAUACAAGAGAUCUACGGUAUCUCGUGUGUAAUACCAAAAUGUGUUUUAUACCUUCUUGCUGUUGAUCCCUUUGUAUACCCUACUAACAAGAUACAUGCAAGAACAAAGAGGUUUUUUAUUUACCUUACAGUUUAAUCCUCUACCAAUUUAUAUUGGUUGAUUUUUUUUUA